ACGUAUGCAAUCUACCCUGUACAGGAGUAUAGCUCCCCCGAAAACGGGGGGAAAUUUAAACCCCUCCCAUAACAUGAUGAGUCGGCAUCGACUUAUUAUUAAAACUGAGGUGGGUACAGGAUGAGCAUGCGUCUGAUUAGCUAGUUGGUAGUGUAAUGGACUACCAAGGGCAAUGAUCAGUAGGGGGAACUGAGAGGUUGAUCCCCCACACUGGCACUGAGAUACGGGCCAGACUCCUACGGGAGGCAGCAGUAGGGAAUAUUGGACAAUGGGUGAGAGCCUGAUCCAGCCAUGCCGCGUGCAGGAAGAAGGCCUUCUGGGUUGUAAACUGCUUUUAUCUGGGGAUAAAAAGGCCUUGCGAGGCAAACUGAAGGUACCAGAUGAAUAAGCCACGGCUAACUACGUG
rnacentral:rRNA from 1 species